rnacentral:lncRNA from 12 species
CUACCAUUAGCUGUUUCAAUUGUAAUGUAAAUGACUGACUUUAAGCUUUUGAUGCUGAAGCACUCACCUCAAAGACAUCCACCUCAAAUAAACAUAUUGUCAGCUACCAAACUGCAGAAAGAACCAGGCUGCCCCAUUCCUGUUCUUAUUUUAGAAAGCCCUGGGAACCCAGAUAACUGACAUUUGCUUUUCCUUCCCUGCACAUUAAUUCCCACUCUUGUUUUAAAUUAACCUAUAAAGACAGAACCUUGAAAAAAUCUAGGCAUCCCGACCUUGACCCAAAUAAAAGCAGAUUCCUGGAUUUGGGCCUUCUCUCUGUCUCUCCCAGAGAUUCAGCUGUAACCCUAGGGCAUGCUGUCUACAACUUGUGAGUAACAAACCUUACUUUUUCAAAGCUCUUGUCUGGUUCCUUUUUCCAUGUAUCCUGCUAAUCAUAAUAAGAGCGAGUCUAACCACAAUACUGGAUCCAGUCAAAGGAAUGUCUGUGCGGACUGCUCCCCAAAGGUCCUAGGAGCUCAGUUUUCAGAUACUGAGUGCAUUCUGGAACUCCACCAGUUUAUACACCCGGAACAACGUAAUUUCAAAGUACAGACAAUGGAAGAAUAUGAGUUGAAAGGAAACCUGAGAACUCAGAAAUAAACUUCCAAACUCUGCACAUUUUUGUGUUUCCAGCUCUGCACAUUCUUUGUCUCCAAGUCUUUAGCCACUGUUAGCAUUAGGACUAAGCACCGUGCCACUGGGAAUCUCAAAGUCAGCUUGUGGUUGAGUUUUCACCCUGAGCUGAAUUGCUGGUCCAUUCUAGCUACAUUGAUAGCUUAAUCCUGGAACUCCCAGGCUCCCCACCCACCCCCAGACUCCUCCAAAUUCAAGCGCAAACAUAAAUCCAACUACAAAACAAUACCACACAAUGUUAACAGGCUGGUAUAUCCUGUUCCCAAACAACUGGCCGACUCACAGACACAGGAUAUCAUUUUAGUUUGGCUUCAAAGACAACGAAGAGGAAGAUAAUCGUGAUGCUGGAAAUGCCAACAAAUGUCUAGACCAGGCAUCUGUGCACCAUGCCAGCAACACAGAUGGAAAAACGUUGCAGAAAAUAAGGAGGCUGACUUACAGAGGAAGUCGAGAGAUUGAGAAAGAAACAACUGUUAAAAGGAAAACAAUUCUUCCACUGCAUGAAACUUCUUUAGAAAAACCUGCUAAUGCACUGGAGGAUCCACAGGCUAUGUUUAGCACUUGCUGGAAAAUGUUAAGCAAUAAGUUAUUGCCCUAAUAACCUUCAAGUAGAAAAUGUACAAAUAGAAGUCAAACACUGUAACAUACUUAAUAAUCCUAAAAGGAGGCACCCAGGUCUCUCCGACUCUAUUUGG